rnacentral:rRNA from 1 species
UACAGAGGGUGCAAGCGUUAAUCGGAGUUACUGGGCGUAAAGGGCGCGUAGGCGGUUAUGUAAGUGAGAUGUGAAAUCCCUGGGCUUAACCUAGGAACUGCAUCUUAUACUGUAUAGCUGGAGUAUUGUAGAGGGUAGUGGAAUUUCCGGUGUAGCGGUGAAAUGCGUAGAGAUCGGAAGGAACACCAGUGGCGAAGGCGGCUACCUGGACAAAUACUGACGCUGAGGCGCGAAAGCGUGGGGAUCAAACAGG